rnacentral:rRNA from 1 species
UCAAGAAUAUUCCUCAAUGGGCGAAAGCCUGAAGGAGCGACGCCGCGUGUAUGAUGAAGCCCCUCGGGGUGUAAAAUACUUUUAUCAGGGAAGAAUUAUGACGGUACCUGAUGAAUAAGGGGCUGCUAACUUCGUGCCAGCAGCAGCGGUAAUACGAAGGCCCCGAGCGUUAUCCGGAUUUAUUGGGUGUAAAGCGUGCGUAGGUGGUUUGGUGUAUCUUCUGUUAAAUUUCACGGCUCAACCGUGGACCUGCGGGAGACAUAGCCAGGCUAGAGACUGGAAGAGGCAAGCGGAAUUGCUGGUGUAGGGGUUAAAUCCGUUAAUAUCAGCAGGAACGCCAAAAGCGAAGGCAGCUUGCUAGGACAGUUCUGACACUAAAGCACGAAAGCGUGGGGAGCGAAUGGG